UACGUAGGGCGACACGUUAUCCGGAAUUAUUGGGCGUAAAGAGCUCGUAGGCGGUUUGUCGCGUCUGCCGUGAAAGUCCGGGGCUCAACUCCGGAUCUGCGGUGGGUACGGGCAGACUAGAGUGAUGUAGGGGAGACUGGAAUUCCUGGUGUAGCGGUGAAAUGCGCAGAUAUCAGGAGGAACACCGAUGGCGAAGGCAGGUCUCUGGGCAUUAACUGACGCUGAGGAGCGAAAGCAUGGGGAGCGAACAGG
rnacentral:rRNA from 1 species